rnacentral:rRNA from 1 species
ACGGGAGGCAGCAGUGGGGAAUAUUGCACAAUGGGGGAAACCCUGAUGCAGCAACGCCGCGUGAAGGAUGAAGGCCCUUGGGUCGUAAGCUUCUGUUCUAAGGGAAGAUAUGACGGUACCUUAGGAGCAAGUCCCGGCUGACUACGUGCCAGCAGCCGCGGUAAUACGUAGGGGGCAAGCGUUAUCCGGAAUUAUUGGGCGUAAAGAGUGCGUAGGUGGUUUCCUAAGCAUGGGGUUUAAGGCAAUGGCUUAACCAUUGUUCGCCCCAUGAACUGGGUUACUUGAGUGCUGGAGAGGAAAGCGGAAUUCCUAGUGUAGCGGUGAAAUGCGUAGAUAUUAGGAGGAACACCAGUGGCGAAGGCGGCUUUCUGGACAGUUACUUACACUGAGGCACGAAAGUGUGGGGAGCAAACAGGAUUAGAUACCCUGGUA